rnacentral:misc_RNA from 1 species
GAUGAAGAACGUAGCGAAAUGCGAUAAGUAAUGUGAAUUGCAGAAUUCAGUGAAUCAUCGAAUCUUUGAACGCACAUUGCGCCCGCCAGUAUUCUGGCGGGCAUGCCUGUCCGAGCGUCAUUUCAACCCUCGAACCCCUCCGGGGGGUCGGCGUUGGGGAUCGGCCCUUUACGGGGCCGGCCCCGAAAUACAGUGGCGGUCUCGCCGCAGCCUCUCCUGCGCAGUAGUUUGCACACUCGCAUCGGGAGCGCGGCGCGUCCACAGCCGUUAAACACCCCAAACUUCUGAAAUGUUGACCUCGGAUCAGGUAGGAAUACCCGCUUGACUUAAGCAUAUCAAUAAGCGGAGGA